rnacentral:rRNA from 1 species
CCUACGGGAGGCAGCAGUGAGGAAUCUUCCACAAUGGGCGAAAGCCUGAUGGAGCAACGCCGCGUGCAGGAUGAAGGCCUUCGGGUUGUAAACUGCUUUUAUAAGUGAGGAAUAUGACGGUAGCUUAUGAAUAAGGAUCGGCUAACUACGUGCCAGCAGCCGCGGUCAUACGUAGGAUCCGAGCGUUAUCCGGAGUGACUGGGCGUAAAGAGUUGCGUAGGCGGUUUGUUAAGUGAAUAGUGAAAUCUGGUGGCUCAACCAUACAGGCUAUUAUUCAAACUGGCAAACUCGAGAGUGGUAGAGGUCACUGGAAUUUCUUGUGUAGGAGUGAAAUCCGUAGAUAUAAGAAGGAACACCGAUGGCGUAGGCAGGUGACUGGACCAUUUCUGACGCUAAGGCACGAAAGCGUGGGGAGCGAACCGGAUUAGAUACCCUUGUAGUC